CACAAUGGACAUCCAGCUUAGCUUCCUGGUCUAUCUGUCCACGACCCAGACGGUUCUCUGCCAAGCAAGAGUAAUUCCCAGCAUGCCACAGGGAGACCUGAGGGAUCCGAAGCUUCUCUUGGGUGUCUCCAGGUACGUGUUUCCUGUUGUGAUACCAGGUGUAGCUUGUUGCACUCGGACUGGCCAGUGACUCACAAACCAGCUCUACUGACUGUCCCUCUUCAGCGGGGGAAGGGUAGAUGUGAACCCGGGAGGGCUCUGGAGCAUCUGAAAGAAUGUAUGGCCACGGGACAGCUUCAAGGAAACUCACAGUGCACGGUGAGUUCCACUUCUUCCGACCGUCCUGGGCCUAUGUCGUUGGAAGCCUGGCAAUGGUAUCUGCCGCUCAUGUCCUUGGUCACCGAGUGCAGAGUUAGCUUGGACAUCUGUUGUUCCUGUUCCUGUUCCUGUUCCCGAUCCUCUAGGAGGCGCCCAUCCUUGAACCAAGACACCGCCACCGUACUGAUUUUCGGGUU
rnacentral:lncRNA from 1 species